rnacentral:sRNA from 2 species
ACCACUGCCAACCUAUCUAUCGCUGCUAAUCUAUCGCUGCUAAUCUAUUGCUGCUAAUCUAUCACUGCUAAUCUAUCACUGCUAAUCUAUCGCUGCUAAUCUAUCGCUGCUAAUCUAUCGCUGCCAACCUAUCUACUGCUGCCAACCUACCUACCACUGCUAAUCUAUCACUGCUGCCAAUCUAUAUAGGGUAAAUCAUGGUCCCAUUUGGUCCCAUUUUAUAAAAUGGGACCAAAUGGGACCAGGACCACUAAUUUAUUAGUAAAACAUGAUCUGGGACUAGAUUUUUAAUAUAAACAGUGUAAAGUGACUAAUUUACUAAACACUAUAUAGGACCAGGACUA